UUUUCAUAAAAAUAACAGCGAAAGUGUUACCGUUAAAACUGUUGAACUACUCGGUAGUAAAAAUACAGUAAUACGCGUGGUUGCAUAGUAACACACGGUAUUGAUUAUUGAUGCUUACGUGAGAAGUCACUCAGUUAUACUCAAUUAUUAUUACAGUAAUUGAUGCAUCAUAUCUCUCAUAUUAUUGAUUCAGUUAUUGUCAUAGUAUCAUCUGCAUAAUAUUUUAUAUAUUAUUGAAUCAAUAAUUGAGACGACAAAGUUAUUCAUAUUAUUAUUUGUAAUAUUGAUAAUGUCUAGAAGUUCUGUCAAGGAGAGGUUUGGUUAUCUAAUUGCGCGCUAAUAAGGAAAUAUCCUUAUCGGAAAGCCCCCUCUUUUCUGGGAACGACCUUGUUGUUAAAUAUUGUGAGUUAUAAUAUUAAUGAUGAAUAUUAUAAAAAAAUUGAAUUUGAGUUCAGAGUUGAAUUUGGAGAUGCGGAUGUGAUAUUUGAGUCCGAAAUGAUAAAAUUAGUAGAAAUAGACUAUAAACAUAAAAUUUGUCGGGGUUGAAUUUUUGGUCAAAAAAGUCAACAGUUGACUUUUUCAGAAAAAGUCAAAACUUUGAAAUUUAAAAAAUGAAAUUGUUGAGAAAAAUAUUUCCAUUGUGUUGGGAUUAUUAGUGUUAGUGAAAAUCGAUAUUUAUUUCGAUAGUAAUUGAUGUUUGGAAGUUAUAUUUACCAACUGGUAAUUAAUCGAGUAAAUGAACAAUUAAUUGCUAUUAAUUCACAUGUUAUUAACUAUUUGUUCACAUGUAUGUACUAUUGAUUCACAUUCAUGUACUAUUAGGGGAGGUGGUGCAAGAUUGAUAAUACUUGCAUGACUAAGUUAAAAAUAGAGGUAUAGAUGGAGGUACUAUACUGUAAUUCAUAUUUUCACAUGAUUAUAACUAUUGAGUCACAUGAUUGUACUAUUAAUUCACAUUAUUUACUAUUAG
rnacentral:lncRNA from 1 species